ACUUCCGGGGCGUGGUCCCACCCCGGCAGCUGGUAGGUCUGAGGAGCGCUAGAAUGAGGGUGUUAGGCUAAAUGGCAAGCCCUAGUCAGUUGGAGUAGGACUUGAGUUGGAAAUUACGGUCUCACUGCUUACUAGUGCGAAAAGCACAUUUCUAGAGUGCUUCGCCGUCGCCGCCAGCCUUGAGUUGGGACUACAAGUCCGGGUUCUCAGGAGUCCAGGAAUGGGGGCGGGAGAGGGCGUUGUGGGAAGAGUGGCAUGCUGGGAACUGUAGUAGCGUUGACUCCACGUUCGCUGCAGAAAUAACCACUUCCAGAUGUGUCCUUCCAAAUGUCUUCCUAUGCAUUUAUAUACAGUUUGAUUUCUAAGGCAAGCUUUAUUUGAAACUAGGGGCCUGGAAUAUUUUACUUUGUUCAGAUUACUGAGACUGGAUUUGAGAUAAGUUUCACUGGAUAUGAGAUAAGAUCAAGAGCUGGGUUUGAUCUGCUACCAAUAUAGCACACCAUAGGGUACCCUAUUCCUCCAGAACUAGGAGAGAAAUUAGCCUCUAGGCAAAGAAUUGGGCAGAUGAUCAAGAUUACCUCUACUUUGAUUUGUCAAAAAGAAUGCACCAAUUAGGUGAUGAUUGUUAAAGGCUAAAUGCUGGACAAGCUAUAAAACAAGGGGGGGGGGGUCAGGUGGGAAGUGUCAGGUGGGAAGUGUUAUUUGUUGGAAUUAUUGAGUCCUAUUUUGGCUAGUGUUUUUGAGUCUUUUUUUUUUUUUAACUUUCACUGUGAGCUUCUCUCUCACAACACGACUGUUUUUUGAGUUAUCAGCAGAUACCUUUGGCAUCUCAUGUAGGUUAGGGAAAACAAAAGUAAAGUGCCUUUAUGGAUUUAGGUUCUUUUGGAAAAACUUUUCUAUUUUUAGUGUAUUUAGGUCUUGUUUCAAUCUACACAUAUUUUUUGAGCACCUCAAAACAUGAGGGGUUUGUGCUGUGUGGGGGCAGGGCAAGAUACCAAAAAUGUCUCAGAGAUGGCUUCUUCUAGAGCUUAUAGCUUAGUUCAGGAGACAGGGAAAUACACUAAAAUCUUAAUUCCAAUGAUUUAAUAAAUGCCGAAUGAGUGAUACAGACAAUGCGUGUUUUAACAAUUCUAAGAAGAGAGAAUAAUGAACUGGGUUGUCAAUACAUAGUGAUCACAGAGGACCUUAGAAGGAUAAGUGAAAUUAGGUUUGAAUGGAAAGAAGAAUUCCCAAGGAAGAGAAGUGAUGAAACAAUAAGCAUGAUGAUAGCCAAGCAGAAGUUCGGAGCAGAACUUUUGUAUAUGUGUGAGGGCACUAAAGUAGACUGGGACUGGACUCUGGGGCACAUUCAGUGCCUGGCUGAGGAUUUAAACUUGAUAAUUGUUGUCAGUGGGAGCCACCAAAGGUUUCUGAGUCUAGAAGUGAAAUUAGGAAAAUACUAUUCUGGCACUUUAUGGCUGAGUUGUGAAGUAAUAAGGGAAGAGAAUGGUAUGAGUGAUAUUAGGAGCCAACACAUGAUACAACAAAACCUGAAACUAUGGUCACAGCUCUGCAGUUACAAAGAAACAGGUGGAUGUGAAAGAGACUGAAAGACCUCACAGACCUAGGUGAUGAACUGGCAUAAUGGGUAAGAAAGGAGUUAAUAUUAAAAACGACUGAGAUUACCAGAUUAUAAGAGAUCAGGAAGUUUGACAGAACACAAGGCUGUGCAUGGUAUGGGCAGACAAGGACUUUUGCACAGAUGGUGAGAGAAAUGGGCAAAGUAUCUGCAGAGGCAAUUUGGCCAUAAAUGUAUCAAAAUGGAAAUGUCAUGCAUGCUGUGACUUAAAAAUGUAUAGGUAAUAUUUACAGUUGUAUACAAACAUAUAUGAUAUUUGCAAGCUUACUUGUAAUGUCAAGAGUGGAAACCAUGUACCUACCUAUCAAAAGGCCACUGGUUAAAAAAAAUCAUAUAUAUAUUUAUCACAUAUUAACUAUAAUUAAGUUUUAUAAAGCCACUACAAAUGAAAAAAAUCUAUAUAUAUGUUGAUAUGGAAUAAGUCUUGGGGUCUACUUGUUAAAUUAGAAAAGCUGGGCACACAUUUAUUUAUAGUAUUCUUCCACUUAUGUAAAAUGAAAUGAAGAUAAAAUCUGGCUAAAAUACUUGAAUAUGCAUAGGCUUUUUCUGAGAAUACUUCAAAAACUGUUAGCAUGAUUGCCUCUAAGAGGGCCCGGACCAUCUUUGGUAGACACAGACAGCUUCCAACAUGUAUACCCUGUUAUAUUUUGAGUGUGUUACAAUUUUCCAACAAAAUCAAGUCUGUUUAAUUUUUAAAAAUUUAAACUUUCAAUCCAAGUGAUAGGAAGAAUAGCAGUAUCUUUAAUAGAAACAUGCAAAUAAAAAAGGAAGCAUUCAAAGAAGACAGAUGAAUGGCCAAAAAAUACAUGAAACGAUGUUCAACAUCACUAAUUAUUAAAGAGGUUCCUGUUUUGUCUCAAUGGUUAACAAACCCAACUAGUAACCAUGGGGAUGCAGUUUCAAUCCCUGGCCUCACUCAGUGGGUUAAGAAUUCGGCAUUGCCGUGAACUGUGGUAUAGGUCGCAGACAUGGCUUGGAUCCUGUGUUGCUCUGGCUGUGGUGUAGGCCAGCAGCAAUAGCUCCAAUUUGACCCCUAGCCCGGGAACCUCUAUAUGCCACAGGUGCAGC
ensembl:lncRNA